GGAGAAAAGCAGGGGAUCGCAAGACCUUGCGCUCUUGGAGCGGCCGAUGCCUGAUUAGCUAGUUGGUGAGGUAAAGGCUUACCAAGGCGACGAUCAGUAGCUGGUCUGAGAGGACGACCAGCCACACUGGGACUGAGACACGGCCCAAACUCCUACGGGAGGCAGCAGUGGGGAAUUUUGGACAAUGGGGGAAACCCUGAUCCAGCCAUGCCGCGUGAGUGAAGAAGGCCUUCGGGUUGUAAAGCUCUUUCAGCCGGAACGAAACGGUCACGGCUAAUACCUGUGACUACUGACGGUACCGGAAGAAGAAGCACCGGCUAACUACGUGCCAGCAGCCGCGGUAAUACGUAGGGUGCAAGCGUUAAUCGGAAUUACUGGGCGUAAAGCGUGCGCAGGCGGUUUUGUAAGUCAAAUGUGAAAUCCCCGGGCUUAACCUGGGAACUGCGUUUGAAACUACAAGGCUAG
rnacentral:rRNA from 1 species